GAUGAACGCUAGCGACAGGCUUAACACAUGCAAGUCGAGGGGCAGCAAGAAUUGUAGCAAUACAAUUUGUUGGAGACCGGCGCACGGGUGAGUAACGCGUAUGCAACCUACCUAUCAGAGGGGGAUAGCCCGGUGAAAGCCGGAUUAAUACCGCAUAUAACAGGGGUCCCGAAUGGUAAUAUUUGUUAAAGAUUAAUUGCUGAUAGAUGGGCAUGCGUUGUAUUAGCUAGUUGGUGAGGUAACGGCUCACCAUGGCAACGAUGUCUAGGGGGACUGAGAGGUUAACCCCCCACACUGGUACUGAGACACGGACCAGACUCCUACGGGAGGCAGCAGUGAGGAAUAUUGGUCAAUGGACGGAAGUCUGAACCAGCCAUGCCGCGUGCAGGAUGACGGCUCUAUGAGUUGUAAACUGCUUUUGUAUAGGGGUAAAAGUAGAUACGUGUAUCUAUCUGAAAGUACUAUACGAAUAAGGAUCGGCUAACUCCGUGCCAGCAGCCGCCGCCGUAAGAC
rnacentral:rRNA from 1 species